rnacentral:rRNA from 1 species
AUUGAACGCUGGCGGCAUGCCUUACACAUGCAAGUCGAACGGUAACAGGUUAAGCUGACGAGUGGCGAACGGGUGAGUAAUAUAUCGGAACGUGCCCAGUCGUGGGGGAUAACGUAGCGAAAGCUACGCUAAUACCGCAUACGAACUACGGAUGAAAGCGGGGGAUCGCAAGACCUCGCGCGAUUGGAGCGGCCGAUAUCAGAUUAGGUUGUUGGUGAGGCAAAAGUUGACCAAGCCUGCGAUCUGUAGCUGGUCUGAGAGGACGACCAGCCACACUGGAACUGAGACACGGUCCAGACUCCUACGGGAGGCAGCAGUGGGGAAUUUUGGACAAUGGACGCAAGUCUGAUCCAGCAAUGCCGCGUGCAGGACGAAGGCCUUCGGGUUGUAAACUGCUUUUGUACGGAACGAAACGGUGAGCUCUAAUACAGUUUGCUAAUGACGGUACCGUAAGAAUAAGCACCGGCUAACUACGUGCCAGCCGCCGCGGUAA